rnacentral:rRNA from 1 species
CAGUAGCCGCGGGAAUACGAAGGGGGCUAGCGUUGCUCGGAAUUACUGGGCGUAAAGGGAGCGUAGGCGGACAUUUAAGUCAGGGGUGAAAUCCCGGGGCUCAACCUCGGAAUUGCCUUUGAUACUGGGUGUCUUGAGUAUGAGAGAGGUAUGUGGAACUCCGAGUGUAGAGGUGAAAUUCGUAGAUAUUCGGAAGAACACCAGUGGCGAAGGCGACAUACUGGCUCAUUACUGACGCUGAGGCUCGAAAGCGUGGGGAGCAAACAGGAUUAGAUACCCCUGUAGUCCCUGUCUCUUAUAA